GCGAACGUGGGCGAGUGAGCCGGCGGAAUACGUAGGGGUCAAGCGUUUGUCUGUAUUGUUGGGCGUAAAUGGCGAGGUGGCUGUUUGUCGCGUCGGCUGUGAAAACACGGGGCUCACCCCUGUGCCUGCAGUCGAUACGGGCAAAAUUGAGUGCGGUAGGGGAGACGGGAAUUCCUGGUGUAGCGGUGAAAUGCGCAGAUAUCAGGAGGAACACCGGCGGCGAAGGCGGGUCUCUGGGCCGUAACUGACGCUGAGGAGCGAAAGCGUGGGGAGCGAACAGGAUUAGAUACCCUAUUAGUC
rnacentral:rRNA from 1 species